rnacentral:rRNA from 1 species
AUUGAACGCUGGCGGCAGGCCUAACACAUGCAAGUCGAGCGGAGCGGCGGACGGGUGAGUAAUGCCUAGCAAGCUGCCUGGCAGUGGGGGAUAACGACCGGAAACGGGCGCUAAUACCGCAUACUAUCAGAUGAGCCUAGGUCGGAUUAGCUAGUUGGUGGGGUAAAGGCCUACCAAGGCGACGAUCCGUAACUGGUCUGAGAGGAUGAUCAGUCACACUGGAACUGAGCCACGGUCCAGACUCCGACGGGAGGCAGCAGUGGGGAAUAUUGGACAAUGGGCGCAAGCCAGAUCCAGCCAUGCCGCGUGUGUGAAGAAGGUCUUCGGAUUGUAAAGCACUUUAAGUUGGGAGGCGUUACCAACAGAAUAAGCACCGGCUAACUUCGUGCCAGCAGCCGCGGUAAUAC